AAAAGUCUUGGUGUUAUCAUUUACCAAUGAGUGAAACUGGAGAAUAUAAAUUCUCCCUUUACGGCGCACAUCUCGUUAAUAUUCUCCUAUAUUCAGACAUAGAAAUCAUAUAUUUACUUGUCAAAAAUGAUAUUGGAGUAAAUACGAAAUUAAAGUUCAAAGUGAAUUAUUUGGAAGAGGUUUAUAUGUUGAAGGAAAAACUAUUUUAGUUUAUCCCACAUAGAAAUUUUAUCAAAACAAAGACUAGUUUAUAUAUGGCUACAUUUUUAUAUGUGUAAUCACGUGUAGCAUAAAUGCUCUCUCAAUGUAUGCACGUAUAGGGUGAAAAUCGCGGACCAAAUUAGUUCUUUAGGCCUUGAACUAGUGACCGAUAUAGAUGAAUGUCGGAUCGAAUGAACAUUUGCACUCCAACAACUAUGCGGGUUGUUUUAAAUUAGAGCAAGUCUGGAAGAGAAACGAACUUGAUGGAAAUUUGGCAAGGAUAUCCUUCAGCCUUUUUCUUCAACACGCAUCAAGCAUUUGUAGAUAAACUAAGGUAACAGUAUUUAGGAACUUUUAAUUUACUGGACACACGUCACUUUUUCACUGAUGAAAUUGUUUUUUUUCCUGUUUGUACAUUUUUAACAUUUCUGCUCACGUGAAUAGUCAUGAUUACAUGAUCUCUGUUGAGCCGGCUUACCUUUGGUUUUGUAUGAGAGUUGGAGAACUUUUACAACGUAAACAAGUUAAUCAUUUAAUACUGUUUGUCAUUCAUAUUUUUUCCAAACUCAUUUCUAACUAUUCAUUCGCACAAAAUAAAAUAUUUUACACUUAAAUAAAAA
rnacentral:lncRNA from 1 species